rnacentral:rRNA from 1 species
UAUUUUUGACCUCGUAUCAGGUAAGAGUACCCGCUGAACUUAAGCAUAUCAAUAAGCGGAGGAAAAGAAACCAACAGGGAUUGCCUUAGUAGCGGCGAGUGAACCGGCAAAAGCUCAAAUUUGAAAUCUGCCAGCAAUGGCCGAGUUGUAAUUUGUAGAUGGUAACUCUGUAAGAAGUCUUUGCUCAAGUUUCCUGGAACGGAACGCCAAGGAGGGUGACAGCCCCGUGAGGCAUUGACGUACUUGCGUGUAGAGUGCUAUCGAAGAGUCGAGUUGUUUGGGAAUGCAGCUCAAAGUGGGUGGUAAGUUCCAUCUAAAGCUAAAUAUUGGCGAGAGACCGAUAGCGAACAAGUACUGUGAAGGAAAGAUGAAAAGCACUUUGAAAAGAGAGUGAAAUAGUACGUGAAAUUGUUAAUAUGGAAGGAUAUAAAACUAGACACGGAGUUUUGAGUUCUGCAGUCCCUCGGGAUUGUUUUGUCUCUUAGUUCCACACCAGCAUCAGUUUUGGCAGGAGGAUAAACAAUACGGAAUGUAGCUGUUCGCAGUGUUAUAGACGUGUUGCAUACUCUUAGCCGGGACUGAGGUCAGCCUUUGUAGGAUGCUGGGGUAAUGGUUUUAUAUCAC